AACCUUAUGGACCUGCGGGCGUAUACCUGCGGAAGGAUCAUUACCGAGUUUACAACUCCCAAACCCAUGUGAACAUACCUAUCGUUGCUUCGGCGGAUCGCCCCGGGCGCCUUGCGUGCCCCGGAUCCAGGCGGCCGCCGGGGGACCUUAACUCUUGUUUUUACUGAGAAUCUUCUGAGUCGUUUUUACAAAUAAAUAAAAACUUUCAGCAAUGGAUCU
rnacentral:misc_RNA from 1 species